GACGAACGCUGGCGGCAGGCUUAACACAUGCAAGUCGAGCGCCCCGCAAGGGGAGCGGCAGACGGGUGAGCAACGCGUGGGAAUCUACCUAGUUCUACGGAACAACAGUUGGAAACGACUGCUAAUACCGUAUACGCCCUACGGGGGAAAGAUUUAUCGGAAUUAGAUGAGCCCGCGUAAGAUUAGCUAGUUGGUGAGGUAAUGGCUCACCAAGGCGACGAUCUUUAGCUGGUCUGAGAGGAUGAUCAGCCACACUGGGACUGAGACACGGCCCAGACUCCUACGGGAGGCAGCAGUGGGGAAUAUUGGACAAUGGGCGCAAGCCUGAUCCAGCCAUGCCGCGUGAGUGAUGAAGGCCUUAGGGUUGUAAAGCUCUUUCACCGAUGAAGAUAAUGACGGUAGUCGGAGAAGAAGCCCCGGCUAACUUCGUGCCAGCCGCCGCCGUAA
rnacentral:rRNA from 1 species